ACAAACAAACUGAAAGAUACACUAUCUGAAGGGUAUACAAAUCGAACGGAUAACAAAUUUUGAAGGCGCGCCAAGCGGAGUGAAAGGCUGGUAACGAAACCCGCCGCCAGGGGGCGCUGCACAACACAAUAACCAGUUCAAAGCAGAUAGGAAAACGAAAAACGACCGCGAGUGGAAAAUUGUUAUGUUGCAACUUUUCAGAAAAACAAGUUCCGUUCGCCUUUCGUUUGUUUUUGAGGUUUCCAUUUCGGCGUCCCCUUUUCGGCAUUAUGAAACAACAAAGAAAAGUUAACACUCAUCCUGCCGAAUGCGUCACCGUAAAAAGUUAAUUAUACUUGUUUAUACUCGUUAGCUGCAGAAGUUCGUUAACUUGGAAAUGUGUCAUAUUAAGCGGAAGUCACAAUAAAAUUCUUGAGAUGCAAUGGAGAUAAGUAAGAAAAA